rnacentral:lncRNA from 1 species
AACAAAACGAGAAAAGUCUGUCACAGGAACAUGAUGUUCAGGGGGAGAAACACAUUUAAUGUUCUUUAUUAUCCCUGAUAUCUCUUCUUUAUUCCAAAACCAAGAGUAGAAAUGUUCUCUUAAGAUAAUGUGAAGAUGUUCAGAGAGUUUACUUUUAAUCUUCAUGGAAAGCUCUUCUGUAGCCUUUUCCUCUGAGAUCAAAGCAUUCCACUUGCAAGGAUAAGACAGCCAGGUAAACAACUCAAAAUAGCUUCAGGAAUUCCCUGAAACUGACCAGGUUCACUGGGCCCCUUCCUGCUACAGUGACAGAACACAGUCCUAGAAUGGAGUCAUGCCAGGAGAAUUCUGAUUGCUUUUGAGAAAAUGCCAAGAGAACAAGGUCUCACUGCCUCAAUUGUGGUAAACAUUAAGGAAUAAAUAUUGCCAAGAGUCACUCCCAGACAAACUAAGCUGCAAAGAAGACUCUGAGACCAGACCAGCUGCCACAAGGAAGCAGAAACCAGCCCUGCUACCUGGAAGACUCUGAGACCAACUGAGGCACCAGGAAAGGAUACUCUCCAACCUGUUGACCUUCCUGCAGGCUGUGCAGUGUGCACCAGGUUUCCAGCUACUACAAACUAUCACUCAUGCUGGGGAGGGCUCAUAUAGCUAUCUUUGAG